rnacentral:rRNA from 1 species
GUGAGACAGGUGCUGCAUGGCUGUCGUCAGCUCGUGUUGUGAAAUGUUGGGUUAAGUCCCGCAACGAGCGCAACCCUUAUCCUUUGUUGCCAGCGGUUAGGCCGGGAACUCAAAGGAGACUGCCAGUGAUAAACUGGAGGAAGGUGGGGAUGACGUCAAGUCAUCAUGGCCCUUACGACCAGGGCUACACACGUGCUACAAUGGCAUAUACAAAGAGAAGCGACCUCGCGAGAGCAAGCGGACCUCAUAAAGUAUGUCGUAGUCCGGAUUGGAGUCUGCAACUCGACUCCAUGAAGUCGGAAUCGCUAGUAAUCGUGGAUCAGAAUGCCACGGUGAAUACGUUCCCGGGCCUUGUACACACCGCCCGUCACACCAUGGGAGUGGGUUGCAAAAGAAGUAGGUAGCUUAACCUCCGGGAGGGCGCUUACCACUUUGUGAUUCAUGACUGGGGUGAAGUCGUAACAAGGUAACCGUAGGGGAACCUGCGGUUGGAUCACCUCCUUACCUUAAAGAA